rnacentral:rRNA from 1 species
AUUGAACGCUGGCGGAAUGCUUUACACAUGCAAGUCGAGCGGCAGCGCGGGGGCAACCCUGGCGGCGAGCGGCGAACGGGUGAGUAACAUAUCGGAACGUACCCAGUCGUGGGGGAUAACUAUCCGGAAAGGAUAGCUAAUACCGCAUACGUCCUGAGGGAGAAAGCGGGGGAUCGCAAGACCUCGCGCGAUUGGGAGCGGCCGAUAUCGGAUUAGCUAGUUGGUGGGGUAAAGGCUCACCAAGGCGACGAUCCGUAGCGGGUCUGAGAGGACGACCCGCCACACUGGAACUGAGACACGGUCCAGACUCCUACGGGAGGCAGCAGUGGGGAAUUUUGGACAAUGGGGGCAACCCUGAUCCAGCCAUUCCGCGUGAGUGAAGAAGGCCUCGGUUGUAA